AACUAGCCUUUUUUUUUGCGUGAGCGAUAGUAGUGGCAUCCUUUUUUUACUUUGAUAUAUGGUAAAAAAAGAUAAAGCGAAUAGCGCGGCCAGUA
rfam:Mesonia phycicola strain DSM 21425 genome assembly, contig: Ga0070602_105